rnacentral:tRNA from 1 species
UCGUCAGUAGCUCAGUGGUAGAGCGGUCGGUUGUUAACUGACUAGUAGUAGGUUCGAAUCCUACUUGGGGAG